CCUUAAACAGCUAAUAUCCUCCCAGCCAGUCAUGAAUACCAAGACAGCACCAGGUCCUUCCUUCCGACAUAUAUGGCACAAAACUGCCUCAAUAAGGUUAAAUCCUAUGCAAUCAGGCAUCCAGCUCGCUAGAGAAUCACGUACCCUGGAGCUAUAAUUCUCAAAGCUCGAUUUAUUAAGAGCAUCCUCAACAAGAGCCGCAAUCUGGUUUUUCCUUUUUCUUGGUGCAAGUUGCCUUUGUGUU
rnacentral:misc_RNA from 1 species